UCUACCUCUUUUUAACCAUAUAUAACAAGUACUAUUUACUAUUUUAUGUACUGUUUAUAUUGCUUCACUUAUAUAUUUUACUUUUCAGAGUUUCAAAAAAAAGUUAUAUUCCAAUUUGCUGAAAUUAACAACAUUUUAGUAGAUAUAACUGCACAGUUCUCUAAUGAUCCAGAAGAAGGUUUUACACAACGUAAAAUUUCAGAUGAACUUAAUGUUUUGAAAAGAAAAAUUGCAAAUAUAGAUAUCCAAUACAUCGCUUUUGUAUUAGUAAAACAGUUAUCAUUAAUUAGCGGUAAAAAAUCGUGUAGAUACAAUUAAAUAUAUUUUGCUCUUACUACCAACAGACACUAUUUUGUCCGAAUACAGCAUGAAUGGUCUAAAGAAGAAAAAAAAGUUUAAAGAAUUGACAAGUCUAUGUAAUGCUGAAACUGCUUUAAAGUCAAAUAAAAACAAAAUGGAUGCCAUCCAUCUAACUUAUUGGGAGAGUAAUUAGGAAUUCUUCUGACCGAUUAAAGAAAACAUCCACUAAUAUGAAUAUCGAUCAAUGAUCGGCUUAAUUAGCUGUUGUAUUUUUUAUUUAUUUUCCAUUUUUCAGCAAUUUUCUUCUAUUUAUAAUGCACUAUCGAUUAUAUUCUACAGUACCUAAUAGUUUUUAAUUUGGAAAGGGUAAUUUUAUUUGAAAAAUUAUUCUUAUUUUUUGUAAAGUAAUUAAUUUAUUUUAAAUAUAUCAAAUUACACUUUA